ensembl:snRNA U6 U6 spliceosomal RNA
GUGCUUGCUUGGGCAGCUCAUGUAGUAAAAUUGAAACCAUACAGUGAAGACCAGCAUGGCCCCUGCUCAAGGAUGACUUGCAAAUUCAUGAAGCAUUCCAUAUUAAA